CACACUAUAAUUGGACAUCCGAAUAUCCAAUUUUACAUUCACAUUCCCAUGCAAAUCGUCAUUCAUGAAAUCAUUUGUAAACCACCUCCACAACAUUCAAUUAUGCAAUUACCACAUACAUGAAUAACCAUAUCAUAGGCGUAUUGGCCAUCUCCAAAUAGCCUUAAUCAAAAAGAACAUUUAUUAAAUAAAGGUCAACAUUUUAGGCCAUAAGAAAUAUGACAUAUAUGACAAAACGACCAAACCUACUAUACAUGCCGUAACCCAAAAAUUUAUGUAUCUAGAUAUACCAAGUGUUCUAAUUGAUAGUGUGAGCAAAUCUCCGACGUCCACCGAUUCCCGAGCUAACUUGGCGAUACUAUAAGGCAAAGGAAAAGAGAGGGGAAGUAAGCAUAAAUGCUUAGUAAGUUCAUAUGAAAAUAAUAAGAAAUUAUUAAACUUGUGUGGACAAAUCCUCGCAAUAAUUUCUUAUGAUGAUAUAAUCAUUAUAUCACAUGCUUACACUUUAUUACUAAUAUUCACAUUAAUCUGUUUACUUGAGUCACUGUUACUAAAUUAUUUAUUUCUCGAGCUACAAAACUCCAAAUGAAGAACCGUAAAAUUUCCCUGAAACUAGACUCACAUAAUUUCUUACUAUAGAAAUUUCAGAAUUUUUGGUCUAGCCAAUUAAUACAGUUUAUUCAUUAAAUUUACCCCUGUUUCGUUGUCCAACAGUUCUGACACUUCUUCACAACGAAUCAAUUUUAUCCUCGUACAAAAUUCAUAUGAUGUUCUCGUUUAUUUCACUUGAAAAUAGACAUAAUAAGGAUUUCAAACAUAUAAAUUAUACUCCAUAGUUAUUUUUGUACAAUUUUUACUGAUUUUUCAAAGUUGGAACAGGGGAUUCCUAAACUCAUUCUGACCCUGUCUCACUAAAAUUCAAAUACCUCAUAAUUCACACUUCUUUGGCUUACUCUGUUUCUUUUAUGGAAAAAUAGACCCAUUAAUAUUUAAUUUCAUAUCUCACCCAAACUUUAAUUCAAUUUCCACCAUUUUUGGUGAUUUUUCAAAGUUAUACUAAAGCUGCUGCCCACAAUUGUUUUAAGGUCAAUUUCACUCAUUCAUUAAUUCUUUGUGUUCACUUUCAUUUAUAUACACUUACACCAAAGCAUUUUAUAUCUUGGCACACAACAAUCAAGUGAUCAUAAACACAUCUUACUCGUUUGCAUCCUUAUCAAUAAUGCAUCAUAAUCUGAGCACAUUAUUUAUGAAUAUCAUAUACAUACCUGUGCCUAGUCAUAAUACUCACAUAAUCUACUCUUACUUAUCUUGAGCAUACUCCUUGAAUUUCCCGUUGAAUUACUUGUAAUAUUAGGGAUUUUUGGGAUAUCUCGUACACCUGGUAGGACGCCAAUGCCAUAUCCCAGAUAUGGUCUUACAUGGGAUCACAUAUCAGUGCCGAUGCCAUGUCCCAGACAUGGUCUUACACUGACUCUCCUCUGUCCGUGCCGAUGCCAUGUCCCAGACAUGGUCUUACACUGGCACACUCACUGCCAUGGUCCAACCAUGGUCUUUUCUGUCAAUUCAUUACGAGUUGUAGUACGAAUGUACUUGACCCUGCAUUUCUCAUGAUUGAUCCUUCGAUCUAAUCUCGUACUUGCAUAAAGUCAUGAUUAGAUAACAAAUUUAUAUAAAAUAAUACAUCAUCUCAAUUCAAAUUUAAUAAUCGAUCACUAUAAACUAACUAUACGAACUUACACAUUCUCGUAACAUUAUCGAAUGCUCAAUGUUUCAUACACUAAUUGCCAUCGUAUAGCUGAAGCUAUCAUAAUCUCGCACACUAAGUGCCUUACAUAGCCGAAGCUAUCUCGGUCUCGCACACUAAGUGUCAUAAAUAGCCGAAGCUAUUCCAAAUCGCACACUAAGUGCUAUAAAUAGCCGAAGCUAUCUCGAAUUUCAUAUUAAGUGCUAAACACAGCCGAUUUAUUGUUAAACGUGACUGUAUUCUCAUGUAUACAAUUUAUGCAAUAACAAAGCAUUAAAAACAUAAUUGUAACGAUGAUUAACGCGUACGAACUUACCUCAACGCGAGUCGAUUAUUUUUAUUGACAUUUCCCCGUAUUUGGUCCAAAUCUCGAUUUCUUUGAUCUAAAAUGUCACAUUUCACUUAAUUAUCACUCACAUUACUCAUUUUAAUACAAAAAUCAUACAACGGAAAAUUUACAAUUUUGCCCCUAAACUUUCUCAUAAUUACAAUUUUGCCCCUAGGCUCGUAAUAUGAUUUUUAUUCAAUUUCCCAUAACAUUCAAGGUCAGCCAAACCUUUUUCUCUUCUAAAGCAACCUCAAAUUCUUAUUAUUUACAACUUUUAGGAGCAUUUACAACUUUUACUAAUUAACCCGUUUUAACCAUUUUCAACGAAAAUCACUUAGCAAAAAUCAUUCUCCUAACCUCGUGCACCCUUAUUCUAUCAUUAAACAUCAAAAUGCACAAAUAUCUAGCAUGGGUCAAUUUUUAAACUUCAUUUUUCGUGCAAAUAAAUAGUAAAAAUAGAAAGGUUAAGUUUCUAGGAUCUCAAAAAUACGAAGAACAUUAAAAACGGGGCUCAAAUGCACUUACAAUUGAACUUUGAAAAAGCUUGAAACCCUAGCCAUGGCUUGCUGAAAGUUUCGGCAGCAUGGAGAAGAGAAUGAGC
rnacentral:lncRNA from 1 species